rnacentral:lncRNA from 1 species
UAUAUUAUUCAUUACACAGAUGAUAUUCUUUGUGCAGCACCUUCACGCUCUGUAUUAAUAUCUUGUUUUUCUGCAUUACAGCAAGUGGUCACAGCAGCUGGCUUGGUUAUCGCCCCAGAAAAAAUUCACACUUCAUCUCCUUAUCACUAUUUAGAGAUGCAGCUAGAGGAUAAGGUCAUUAAGCCUCAAAAAGUUCAACUCAGACGAGACUCUUUAAAAACUCUAAAUGAUUUCCAAAAAUUAUUUGGAGAUAUUAAUUGGAUUCGUCCCUCCCUACGCAUUCCUACUUAUGCUGUGUCUAAUCUUUUUGCAAUAUUACGGGGCAAUCCUGAUUUACGCAGUAAAAGGUCUUUGACUCCUGAGGCAGAUUCUAAAUUACGACUUAUAAAAAAAUGCAUUCAACAGUCUCAGGUUACCAGAGUAAAUCCACAUUUACCUUUUGAAGUACUAAUUUUUCCCACUGAACAUUCACCAACAGGACUCAUUAUUCAGGGACAUAAUUUAAUUGAAUUGUGUUUUCUCCCACACAGCUCUUUACGUACACUAACUAUCUAGAUCAAAUUUCUACCUUAAUUGGUCAGGCUCGUUCUCGUCUCCUUCGUCUUUCAGGAACAGAGCCUCAAAAAAUCGUUGUUCCCCUUACCCGAUUACAAGUUCAACAGGCUUUGCUACUUGCAUUGCUUGGCAAGUGCAUUUGGCACGUUUCCCAGGUAUAAUUGAUAAUCACUAUCCUCAUGUAAAAUUAUUUCAGUUCCUUAAACUCACGUCUUGGAUUUUACGUAACAUUACUAGAAACACCCCAUUACCUGAAGCUGUCACUGUUUUCACUGAUGCUUCCUCUAAUGGCCGAGCAGCAUAUACAGGACCCAGAGAACGUGUUCUUAACACAGGGGCUAUUUCAGCACAACGAGCUGAACUGCCUGCUGUUAUGGCUGUCCUUGAAGAUUUUCCUGAGCCAGUUAACAUUUUCUCUGACUCAGCGUAUGUCGUACAUGUUGCUCGCAACAUUGAAACUGCCUUAAUCAAAUUUCUGCCUGAUGAUAACCUAUUCCUUCUUUUUCAAAAGUUUCAGUCUGUGCUCAGAGCAAGGUCUUCUCCUUUCUACAGUACUCACAUUCGGGCCCACACACCCCUCCCCGGACCCCUCUCGGCAGCAAAUGCCAGAGCUGAUACAUUAGUUACUCCCGUUUUUACAGAUGCAGAAAAUUUUCAUGCUUUAACUCACGUCAAUGCUGCGGGACUCCGAAACAAGUUCCCCCUUACAUGGAAGCAAGCUAAAACUACUGUGCGUCACUGUCCUACUUGUCAAGUGUUAAUUUUACCACCACUGUCUUCAGGAGUUAACCCUAGAGGACUUUCACAGAAUGCUCUUUGGCAAAUGGAUGUGACUCAUUAUCCUCCUUUUGGCAAGCUUUCUUUUAUACAUGUAACUAUUGAUACCUUUUCUCAUUUUAUUUGGGCCACUUGUGAAACGGGCGAAAGUACAGCUCAUGGUAAACGACAUGUGCCUUCCUGUUUCUCGGUUAUGGGCUGUUCUGAGAAACUAAAAACUGAUAACGGCCCCGCCUACACUAGUGCUGCUUUUAAAAAGUUUCCUCAGACAUGGGCAAUUACUCACACAACGGGCAUUCCCUAUAACUCUGGAGAACAGGCCUUGGUUGAACGAGCCAAUAAAACACUCAAAGAUCAACUUCGUAAACAGGAUACUAAAUCAAAGGGAGAUGCUAUUACUCCUCAUGCCCAAUUAAAUCUGGCUCUUUUCACACUAAAUUUCUUAAACUUAACAAGAAAUCAACCUUUCACAGCCGCAGAACAACAUUUCACUGGAAAUAAAUUUGAUCCACAAAAAGGAAUGCGGGUAUGGUGGAAGGACGUAAAAACUAACACAUGGGAAUUAGGCACGGUCAUAACUUGGGGUAGGGGUUUUGUUUGUGUUUCCCCAGGAAAAGAACUACAGCCUGUGUGGGUCCCCUCCCGACAAUUAAAAUUGCACCAUAACUCCAAAGAUGAAACGCUCCCAGAAAGAAAAGGCAAAGACCCAUCGGAAACAAAAGAGCAACUUUCACCGCCUGAUACAUACACUUCAUGACAUCCACAUUGAGACAAAAUCUCGCCGUGUGACCUACAACACCUCUCGUUCAACCCCACCUACUUGGGGUCGAAUACAGAUUUUAUCUCAUCAAACAGAAAAAUUCUUAACAGAAAAAGGAAUCCCAAAAAUGACUGGUAAUAUAAUUCUGGCUGCCUUUAUGGUAGUCAGUGCAGCGGUAAGUAUACCACCGGUCGGGGCAACUCAAAAUUAUACUUAUUGGGCAUAUGUUCCUUUUCCCCUUCUAAUUCGGUCUGUCUCCUGGAGGGACUCUCCAGUAGAAGUUUACACUAAUAAUAGUGCAUUCAUGCCGAUCCCUAAUGAUGAUCGGUUUCCAGCUCAACCGGAAGAAGAAGGUAUGCACUUUAAUCUGUCAAUUGGCUAUAAAUAUCCACCAUUAUGUAUUGGGAAGUCGCCUGGUUGUUUAGCUUAUUCUUAACAGAAUUGGAUGUGGACUGUACCGUCCUUUACAAAUGAUUCUUAUCAAGUAUAUAAUGUGUUCAGUACUAACUCUUUUCAACUUCUCACUGUCAAACGUACCCCACAUGAGGCAUGGAGAGUUCCUCUCACUACCAAAACUAAUAAAACAAAAGGACUGCCGGACUGUCCAAAGAAACCUACAAAUGGGCCUUUUAUAGUGACUUCAAUUUUAUGGGAUAAUUGUAAUGCUCCCAAGGCUGUUGUACUCCAAACUCUAGCCAUGGGUAUUGUUAUUGAUUGGGCUCCAAAAGGACAUUAUUGGCAAGAUUGCUCCAGCAAAAAUACCUUAUGCUCGGAGUUUAUUUAUUCCUUAGAUUAUAUAGAGCAUGGGUGGCAGUCUUACACGAUGAGACAACGGGUGUCUCCUUACCCAUUUAAAUGGAUGGACACAGGUAUUGCUCCUCCUAGACCAAAAAUUAUUCAUCCCUUUUUUACCCCAGAACAUCCUGAACUAUGGAAAUUAGCUGCAGCUUUGUCGGGAAUAAAGAUAUGGAACACUACCUAUCAGCUCCUUCGUACUAAAACCAAAACACCCACAUUCAACAUCACCCUUAUUUCUGAAUGGGUGAUACCCAUUAGGAGCUGUGUCAAACCCCCUUACAUGCUGUUGGUUGGAAAUAUAAUUAUGAUGCCUGAUGCACAAACUAUAGAAUGUCAUAACUGUAAGCUGUUCACUUGCAUUGAUGCAACUUUUAAUCCCACUACAAGUAUUCUCUUGGUAAGGGCUAGGGAGGGGGUAUGGAUACCAGUUUCUCUACAUCGUCCAUGGGAGUCUUCCCCCUCUAUUCACAUAGUCAAUGAAGUUCUUAAAGACAUCCUCAAAAGAACAAAGAGAUUUAUUUUUACUCUUAUUGCAGUCCUUGCAGGACUACUUGCGGUUACUGCAACAGCAGCAACUGCUGGAGUUGCCAUCCGCAGUUCUGUUCAAACUGCUCACUAUGUUGAAGCAUGCCAGAAAAAUUCCUCCAGACUUUGGAAUUCUCAGGCGCAAAUUGAUCAAAAAUUAGCUAAUCAGAUUAAUGAUCUCCGCCAAAGUGUAACCUGGCUGGGAGAUAGAGUUAUGAACUUGCAACACCGUAUGCAAUUACAGUGUGAUUGGAAUACUUCUGAUUAUUGCAUAACGCCUUAUGCUUAUAAUCAAGAUCAACAUAGCUGGGAAAAUGUCUCAAGACAUUUAAAAGCCUGGGAUGAUAACUUAACCUUGGAUAUUUCACAACUUAAAGAGCAAAUCUUUGAGGCUUCACAAGCCCAUUUAUCCACAGUUCCUGGCUCACACAUUUUUGAAGGCAUAACUAAACAAUUACCUGAUUUUAAUCCCUUCAAAUGGCUCAAACCCGUCAGAGGAUCAUUGUUGUUACUGGCAUUAUUAAUAUUGGUAUGCUUAUGUUGUCUCCUUUUAGUCUGCAGAUGCCUCUAAGGAGUCCGAAACCAAGUCCGAAGUCAACAACAAGCAAUGAUGGCGAUGGCGAUUCUAGUUAAUAAAAAGGGGGGAGAUGUGGGCGGCAAGCCACCCAGGCACCGAGGCAAGAGACAGAGGACACGAGCUGUUCCAGUAUAAUAAAAUAUAAAACAAGAAUAGUUAUACCAGAUAUAGAUCUUAGAUAUGAUUAUAUACGAAUAUCAUUAAUCAUGAGUUUGUAGCAAUUACUUUUUAUUCCAAUAUUAUGAUAAUCCUCGCUCUAUAAUCAUAGCCUAGGAAAAACCAGGCCAUACAGAGAUAGGAGCUGAGGGGACAUAGUGAAGUGUGACCAGAAGACAAGAGUGCGAGCCUUCUGUUAUGCCCGGACAGGGCCACCAGAGGGCUCCUUGGUCUAGCGGUGACGCCAGCGUCUGGGAAGACACCCGUUACCAGGCGGAUCGUGGCCCAGCCGUAGCAAAAGGUGUCAAGGAACACCUUUUGCAAAAGGUGUCAACACCCGCUACUUAGCAGACUGGGAAAGGGGGGCGGUCUCCCUUUCCCCGGGGGAGUUUAGAGAAGACUCUGUUCCUCCACCUCUUGUGGAGGGCCUGACAUCAGUCAGGCUUGCCCGUAGUUAUCCGGAGGCCUAACUGUCUCCCUGUGAUGCUGUGCUUCAGUGGUCACGCUCCUAGUCUGCCUUCAUUUUCCAUCCUGUACACCUGGCUCUGCCUUCUAGAUAGCAGUAGUAAAUUAGUGAAAAUACUAAUAGUCCCUGAUAUGCAGAAAUAAUGGCAUAAGCUGUCUUUCUCUCUGUCUCCUCUCCCUCUCUGCCUCGGCUGCCAGGCAGGGAAGGGCCCCCUGUCCAGUGGACACAUGACCCAUGUGACCUUACCUAUCAUUGGAGGUGACUCACAUUCUUUACCCUGCCCCUUCUGCCUUGUAUCCAAUAACAGCGCAGUCAGACAUUCAGGGCCACUACCGGUCUCCGCACAUUGGUGGUAGUGGUCCCCCGGGCCCAGCUGCCUUUUCUCUU